rnacentral:rRNA from 1 species
UAGGGAAUCUCCCGCAAUGGACGAAAGUCUGACGGAGCAACGCCGCGUGAGUGAAGAAGGAUUUCGGUUCGUAAAACUCUGUUGUUAGGGAAGAAAAAAUGUAUAGUAACUAUAUACAAAAGAGACGGUACCUAACCAGAAAGCCACGGCUAACUACGUGCCAGCAGCCGCGGUAAUACGUAGGUGGCAAGCGUUGUCCGGAAUUAUUGGGCGUAAAGCGCGCGCAGGUGGUUUAGAAAGUCUGAUGUGAAAGCCCACGGCUCAACCGUGGAGGGUCAUUGGAAACUAAUAAACUUGAGUGCAGGAGAGAAAAGUGGAAUUCCUAGUGUAGCGGUGAAAUGCGUAGAGAUUAGGAGGAACACCGGUGGCGAAAGCGGCUUUUUGGCCUGCAACUGACACUGAGGCGCGAAAGCGUGGGGAGCAAACAGG